rnacentral:rRNA from 1 species
UACAGAGGGGGCAAGCGUUGUUCGGAAUUACUGGGCGUAAAGGGCGCGUAGGCGGCCUGUUAAGUCGAACGUGAAAUCCCCGGGCUCAACCCGGGAACUGCGUCCGAUACUGGCAGGCUUGAAUUCGGGAGAGGGAUGUGGAAUUCCAGGUGUAGCGGUGAAAUGCGUAGAUAUCGGGAGGAACACCGGUGGCGAAGGCGGCGACCUGGGUCGAGACUGACGCUGAGGCGCGAAAGCGUGGGGAGCAAACAGG